rnacentral:rRNA from 1 species
AGCAGUGGGGAAUAUUGGACAAUGGGCGCAAGCCUGAUCCAGCAAUGCCGCGUGUGUGAAGAAGGUCUUCGGAUUGUAAAGCACUUUCGACGGGGACGAUGAUGACGGUACCCGUAGAAGAAGCCCCGGCUAACUUCGUGCCAGCAGCCGCGGUAAUACGAAGGGGGCUAGCGUUGCUCGGAAUGACUGGGCGUAAAGGGCGCGUAGGCGGCUUGUACAGUCAGAUGUGAAAUUCCCGGGCUUAACCUGGGGGCUGCAUUUGAUACGUGCGGGCUAGAGUGUGAAAGAGGGUCGUGGAAUUCCCAGUGUAGAGGUGAAAUUCGUAGAUAUUGGGAAGAACACCGGUGGCGAAGGCGGCGACCUGGCUCAUGACUGACGCUGAGG